GUGCUCGCUACGGUGGCACAUAUACUAAAAUUGGAUCGAUACAGAGAAGAUUAGCAUGGCCCCUGCGAAAAGGA
ensembl:snRNA U6 U6 spliceosomal RNA